rnacentral:tRNA from 1 species
UAAUAUGGCAGAUUAGUGCAAUAGAUUUAAACCCUAUAAAUAAAGAAACAACUUUUAUUAGAA